AUGAAGUUUCUUGGUCCUUACUACAUGUUUGCAAUUACCAGGAGAAGAAAAGUUGGCACAAUCUGUGGCCAUGAUAUUUAUUCAAUUGGCAAGAGUGAAGUGAUUGCUAGUUGUUGUGGUUUAGCACUUUUUCUUCAAAAUCUGCAUUUAUUUAAGUCUUCAGCUCUCAUAUUCUUUUUGUGGUUUAUUUAUUUAUAUACUCAGAGAGAGAGAGAGGGAGGGAGGGAGCGAGAGAGAGAGACAGAGAGAGAGAGAGAGAGAGGACUGGUUAGAUUAGGCCAUCGGAGUAUCUGUUUGAUUGAUGUGAUGAAUUUCAAGUCUGCAUCGGAGUAUUUAUUUAUUGAGCUUUACGGUGGUCGGAAUUUUGCAAGAUGA
rnacentral:rRNA from 1 species